UUUCCAACCAAGUACAGUUCGGAUCCUGAAGUCAGGUCGCGUCUGCGUAACAUGUAAAAAAACCAAACAUGGUGGUAUGUCCAGGUGGAGCUCUGCCUGGAGAUUCAUUUUCAGUGCCCACAGUCUGAUUUCUGAUCUUCAUGGCUUGCCUGAAACUUGCUGCUUUCAUUCCCCAUCAUCAUGGUUGUCACAGAAAUGGAGAUACGUGGAGGAGAGAUGAAGUAGGAACGGUAGGAUGCGGCACCGAAGUAGAUAGAAGAGGAUUUGUCCAAUGGCAAAAGAAGCAUGUAGUUGGCAUUGCCAAAUGCAACAGCGGGAACGUAGUGGGUUUGAGGCGAACAAGAAAUUCCUUCAGAUGUGAGGUGGGUGGUGGAGUGGAGGAGACGAAGAAGACGAGGAUUCUGAUUGCGGGAGGUGGGAUUGCUGGCCUGGUUGUCGCAAUAGCGGCCAAGAAGAAAGGGUUCGAUGUGAAGGUGUUCGAGAGAGACAUGAGUGCUGUCAGGGGAGAGGGGAGACACAGAGGACCCAUUCAGCUGCAGAGUAACGCUCUAGCUGUCUUGGAAUCCAUUGAUGAGGAGGUGACGGAGAGGAUUAUGGACGCAAGCUGCAUAACCGGAAACAGGAUUAACGGCCUCGUAGAUGGCAUCUCCGGUUGCUGGUAUGUUAAGUAUGAUCUUUUUACUCCAGCUGCACAAAGAGGGCUUCCAGCAACACGUGUAAUAAGUCGGAUAGCUCUGCAAGACAUUUUAGUGCAUGCUGUUGGAUCUAAAAAUAUUUUUAACAACUGUAACGUUGUGGAUUUCAAAGAUGAAGCUCGUAAGGUCGCUGUAAUUCUUGAAGAUGGGAGAGAAUUUGAAGGUGAUGUCUUGGUUGGUGCUGAUGGAAUAUGGUCGAAGGUACGUGAAAAGCUAUUUGGCUGGCAAGAGGCAUCUUAUUCAAACUAUACAUGCUAUAGUGGAAUAGCUGAUUUUGUGCCACCAGAUAUCAAUAGUGUUGGGUACCGAGUGUUUCUAGGCCACAAGAAAUAUUUUGUUUCGUCAGAUGUUGGGCAUGGAAAGAUGCAAUGGUAUGCAUUCCAUCAUGAGCCAGCAGGAAAUAUAGACCCUCCAGCAGGCAAGAAGAAAAGGAUUUUGGAAUUAUUUGGGAAUUGGUGUCAUGAAGUAGUGGACCUGCUAUUGGCAACGCCAGAAUCUGUGAUCCUGCGGAGAGAUAUUUAUGAUAGAGACAUGAUUCAUAGUUGGAGCCAAGGUUGUGUGACACUAAUAGGUGAUGCCGCUCAUCCUAUGCAACCAAAUCUGGGCCAAGGUGGCUGCAUGGCAAUUGAAGAUAGUUAUCAGCUUGUUGUUGAGCUAGAAAAAGCAUCUAAGGUUAGAUGGAAGGAUGGAACAAAUGAUGAGAUAGCUUCUGCACUCCUGAGAUAUGAGAGGAAAAGAAUAUCUCGAGUUAGUGCAAUGCAUGCAAUGUCUCGAAUGGCAGCAAGAAUGGUCAGCAGCUACCAGCCUUAUUUAGCCAGACAACAGAGUUUAUGUCAAAGCCCUGGAUGAGACAACCACUCAUUGCAAUGGUACAACUUUUCAUUUCUUGCGGGAUGAAAAUGUUGACGUAUUGGAUUUUGACUGGAAGCAGUUCUGAGCUUGCAGACCAUGUGCGGAAAUGUAGACUCUCGGAUAAUCGAAGAACAUCCUGCAAAAUUGCUACGUGAGGAGAGGCAAAGUAAAAGCACAUGCUGGGAAAGUUUCUCAAGGAUGCACAUUAUACAUGAAGGGAGUAUUUAUUUGCUUUGGGAAUGUGGUUCAUGGAUAUGUGAUUUGAGACAGGCAGUCAGUAAGACAAUAGGUCUUAGACUGUUUGUCCAAUGCCAUUAUGUUCGAAGCGGACAUGAGGUCUCAGACUGCCUAUUAUUGUUGGUUUUGAUUGAUAGAGAAGAGGGAAAUAAGAACUACAUGAAAUGUAAGGGCAUGCAUCCUUCGCAUAUUAACCAAAAUUCCGCUAUGCCUUUUUAAAAUCAAUAUUUUCCAUAAAAGAUGAAUUAAAAACCGGAAAACCAGUUCUUGCAAGAUAAUGAACUGGAUCGAUCUUAGGGAAUGAAAAUUGAAUUCUUUG